GACAACGGGCUGCCCGAGAGCCUGGCUGUGGUGUUGGUGAAGGAGCAAGGGGUGGCCUGCGACCCGGGCCUGCCGCCCGUGCAGCCCUCCUCACCCUAUCAGCUUGCCAGACAUGGUGUCCUCAGGCACCAGCCGCCAAACCUGGGCCCAGACUGGGCGGCAAUCUCAGGGGUGCUGCUGGCUGUUGGCUUGGCAACCACACUGCUGACCAGCCUAGGCUUCGUGCUGAGACCCUCCUUGUUGGCCCAGGCCUGCCCUGUGAGGGCUCGGGGGCCUCGGUGGAGGGGCCUCGGGGAGCCUCUCAUGUCCGUGGAGCCUGUGCCCCUGGGAGACCGGUGAGUCUCCUCCUGCCAGCUUGCUUCCCGCAGCCCCCGACCAGCCCGGGGCCAGCUGUGUGCGCAGGCGCUGAGGCUGCUACUUCUCUGCAGCUUUCCAUUCUCUGAGGACCUUGGUCCCUGGGGCUCCAAGAAAGGAGCUGAUUCCUGGAGGAAAGCCACUGCCCGGGGCCCAGGUACCCCCGCCCCGCCCUCUUCCCCCUGCCCUCCCUUCCCCAGCACACCGGUUGCACACGUGGGGAGCAGCUGGUUUUUCUACUGACAGUUAAUGACAGUCCAUGCCAUCCCUCUCAGCCUCACCACAAAACCUAGAAACGGGCAUUUGGAGGGUUGUUGUAUUCCCAUUUUCCAGACAGACUGAGGCCCCAGGAGGUGUAAGCGACUCUCUGGGCACCCUCAGGUGGUGAGGCUGGAGAGCGGCCAGAGCUCUGGGUCCUCACUGUGCGGGUCAGGAGCUGGGCUGGGGGGGUGGGCACUGCCCUGCAGGGUCUCUUCACGGGAUGACCCACCUGCCCGUCAGCUCCUCUGCUGAGCCAGCCUCCCCUGCAGGCAGGCCUCCAUGCUCCUCUGCUCCUACAUCCUGCCUACAGAGCCCCAUGGGAGAAGGGAGCUGCUGAGUCCAGGGCCCCUUCCUGCAGGGAAGCUGCUUGCAACCCACACCCUGGAGGACUUCAGCAUCCNNNNNNNNNNNNNNNNNNNNNNNNNNNNNNNNNNNNNNNNNNNNNNNNNNNNNNNNNNNNNNNNNNNNNNNNNNNNNNNNNNNNNNNNNNNNNNNNNNNAAGCUGCUUGCAACCCACACCCUGGAGGACUUCAGCGUCCGCACGCUCUACGACAAGCUGGAGGACCAGAGCCUGCAUGUGGCAGCCCAGCUGAGCAGGCACAGGAGCGAUGCACUGGCCUUCUACAGGGGCGCCAGCCUGCAACUGCGGGGGCUCCAGGACCUCCUGCAAAGCCUCAGUGCAACAGAGUGGCCAGUGCUUGGGAGGGCUCGAGACCCAGAGACAGCGGGCAGGGCUACUGCCAGGACAUGCACUGGACAGAGAGCAGACUCAUGGAACAGCCGCAACACAGCUUCUCCUGGGGAGCCCAAGCAGCGUCCGCCAGGCUGCACCCCCAGUGUGUCUCCCCCAGGCUGUCAUGUGGAGCUGGACCAAGCCAUCGCGGCCCUGGCAACCGCACUUUCUCAGGCUUGUGGGCCACCAACUGGGGCCCUGAGAAAGGGCUCUGCUUGGGUUGGUGGACAGCCUGUCUCCGCCUGUCAAAAAGAUGCUCAGCUGGUGAAUGACGUGCUCCCCGAGCCCCAGCCUCUGCCCUCCCCUGAGGAGCACCGAAGUCCAAGCCCCCAGAGGCAGCCGAGAGCUGGAUGGCGCCCCCGGGAUGACGUCAAAGGAGGAGGCCCCAUGAGCCUUGCCCCUGCGCACAGGCAGGGAGCCCUUCCUGAGCUGCAGAGGAAGAUACAGCAGGUGGAAGACAAUUUGGAUGAGCUGAAUGAGGAGUUCUUCCAGCUCACUGCUCAAGCCUUAGCGCUUCAGAAAGAAGAGGACAGAACAAGCCAACUGCCUCCUGGCAAAGGCAAUCCAUGUGUGGUGGUUCCCAGGAUCUGCCCCUCUGAGCAGCAUGAAGACAGACCCCGCCAGGGAGAGGCAGAUGUCCCCUGUGGAAAGAACCUCGGACCCUGGGCCCUGCAGAGCAGCCAGGCCCUGGCACUGGAGGCCAGGAGAGCCUGGGUGGCCCGCAGGGCAGAAGAGCUGGAGUGGGAGCUGUCCUUGCUCGUCCAGGUGGCGGCUGGCAGCCGGCUGAGCCUGGGGAAGCGCUGA
ensembl:lncRNA